GACGAACGCUGGCGGCGUGCUUAACACAUGCAAGUCGAACGGAAAGGCCCUGCUUUUGUGGGGUGCUCGAGUGGCGAACGGGUGAGUAACACGUGAGUAACCUGCCCUUGACUUUGGGAUAACUUCAGGAAACUGGGGCUAAUACCGGAUAGGAGCUCCUGCUGCAUGGUGGUGGUUGGAAAGUUUAGGCGGUUGGGGAUGGACUGGCGGCUUAUCAGCUUGUGGGUGGGGGAGUGGCUUACCAGGGCUUUGACGGGUAGCCGGCAUGAGAGGUUGACCGGGGACCAGGGGACUACGGUAGGGCGCAGACGCGUACGGGAGGCAGCAGUGGAGAAUAUUGCACAGUGGGCGGGAGCGUGAUGCAGAGAUGUCGGGAGCGUGAAGCCGGCCUACGGGUGGUAAACCGCUGUAGCCUGUGACGAAGCGGGAGUGACGGUACUGGGUAAAGAAGCACCGGCUAACUACGUG
rnacentral:rRNA from 1 species